UGAGGAACAUGACCUUCGGCGGGGGAUAGCCGGCCCAACGGCCGGGUAAUACCGCGUACGACCAUUUGGGGACAUCCCCGAGUGGUGAAAGCAGCAAUGCGCCGAUGGAGUGCCUCGCGGCCUAUCAGCUAGUUGGUGUGGGUAAUGGCCCACCAAGGCGACGACGGGUAGCCGGCCUGAGAGGGUGACCGGCCACACUGGGACUGAGACACGGCCCAGACUCCUACGGGAGGCAG
rnacentral:rRNA from 1 species